AUGUUUUUUUCAUCGUUUUGGAAGCAAACUAGCAAGACACGCACUCGGUUUUCCAAGGUCAAAGGUGUCUUUCCCUCGUUGGUGCCAGCGUUGAUGCUCUUCAUGGACUUUUGUGGCCGACGAUGCGGACACCAACAGAUUUGUGGGACAGAAGGAAAAAACAGAUUUGUGGGAAAAAGGAAGCCACUAAGGCUAGGUCAGACACGGUUGAUGGAGAAGGGCAGGGAUGGACUGGGACGGGACCAUAGCAGCGGUGCCACAUAUAUGGUAGGCAGGAAGUGUACAUGCUAUGUAUACAAAGCAAGUAAAUUGCUUGUAGGUCAAAAAAUAUACAAUCUAAACACAAUGGGAUCGUCGCUGAAAAAUAAAGGAAGCGCACCACAUGAUACUGCUUGGGGAGAAAGACAGCUAUGA
rnacentral:rRNA from 1 species